AUUGAACGCUGGCGGCAUGCCUUACACAUGCAAGUCGAACGGCAGCACGGGAGCAAUCCUGGUGGCGAGUGGCGAACGGGUGAGUAAUAUAUCGGAACGUGCCCAGUAGUGGGGGAUAACUGCUCGAAAGAGCAGCUAAUACCGCAUACGACCUGAGGGUGAAAGGGGGGGAUCGCAAGACCUCUCGCUAUUGGAGCGGCCGAUAUCAGAUUAGCUAGUUGGAGGGGUAAAGGCCUACCAAGGCAACGAUCUGUAGUUGGUCUGAGAGGACGACCAGCCACACUGGGACUGAGACACGGCCCAGACUCCUACGGGAGGCAGCAGUGGGGAAUUUUGGGCAAUGGGCGCAAGCCUGAUCCAGCAAUGCCGCGUGCAGGAAGAAGGCCUUCGGGUUGUAAACUGCUUUUGUCAGGGAAGAAAUCCUCUAGGUUAAUACCCUUGGGGGGAUGACGGUAUCUGAAGAAUAAGCACCGGCUAACUACGUGCCAGCCGCCGCCGUAAAAC
rnacentral:rRNA from 1 species